rnacentral:rRNA from 1 species
GACGAACGCUGGCGGCGUGCUUAACACAUGCAAGUCGAACGGAAAGGCCCUGCUUUUGUGGGGUGCUCGAGUGGCGAACGGGUGAGUAACACGUGAGUAACCUGCCCUUGACUUUGGGAUAACUUCAGGAAACUGGGGCUAAUACCGGAUAGGAGCUCCUGCUGCAUGGUGGGGGUUGGAAAGUUUCGGCGGUUGGGGAUGGACUCGCGGCUUAUCAGCUUGUUUGUGGGGUAGUGGCUUACCAAGGCUUUGACGGGUAGCCGGCCUGAGAGGGUGACCGGCAACAUUGGGACUGAGAUACGGCACAGAAUCCAACGGGAGGCAGCAGUGGGGAAUAUUGCAGAAUGGGCGGAAGCCUGAUGCAGAAACGCCGCGUGCGGGAUGACGGCCUUCGGGUUGUAAACCGAUUUCGCAUGUGACGAAGCGUGAGUGACGGUAAUGGGUAAAGAAGCACCGGCUAACUACGUG